CUUGACGCUAUAAAAAGAGGUCCUUUGUGACAGUUUAUUUGGUCACAGAUUUGUUGGGAUUUUCAAGUUACAGUGAUACCUCUCCUGCUACUCCACAGCUAUUGAUAUUUGUCACUACUUUAAAACACACACACACACAGUGAGGCUCAGGGAAGAAUAAGGAUAAAAGAAUCCGAAAAAGUUAAAGAAGAUAUAUAUUCAGUCUCCAAACCAGAAAGUCAACUAAAUGGCCUUAUCAUGAAAAGGACAUCUUUUUUUGGUGUUAGUUCUAGAAAGUGUUGUAGAUGUUCUAUAUUUGCCAAGUAACCUUUGAGACCAGGAUAUCUAAUGCUUCCAUUUUAUGUAAGUUCAAGA
rnacentral:lncRNA from 1 species